GUUGCCUAGAAAAAAUAGAGAUAGAGACAUGUAAUACACAGGGGCAUCAUUGUUUAUUAUCAACUUUUGAAGGACAUUGGAAACUGUAGGUAGCAUCCCUCUCACAUACCUCACAUAACACUGUAGAGUUCAAGAAAGCUAAGACAUGUCUAGCAAUGGGGUGAGUACUUUUGCUUAAAAUUCUCCCAUGUUAGUGGGAUGCCUUGGUUCCUGCUCGGAAGGGGGGCCGGGUGAGGAAAAAGCACCCCGCAGGACACGGUUCCCGCUUGGAAGGGGGGGUGGGGGACGGACAGAGCACAAAGCAGGGCAGGUUUCACGCUUGGAAGGGGGGAUCGGUGAGGAAGAAGCACCCCGCAGGACACGGUUCCCGCUUGGAAGGGGGGGUGGGGGACGGACAGAGCACACCGCAGGGCAGGUUUCACGCUUGGAAGGGGGGAUCGGUGAGGAAGAAGCACCCCGCAGGACACGGUUCCCGCUUGGAAGGGGGGGUGGGGGACGGACAGAGCACACCGCAGGGCAGGUUUCACGCUUGGAAGGGGGGAUCGGUGAGGAAGACGCACCCCGCAGGACACGGUUCCCGCUUGGACGGGGGGGUGGGGGACGGACAGAGCACACCGCAGGGCAGGUUUCACGCUUGGAAGGGGGGAUCGGUGAGGAAGAAGCACCCCGCAGGACACGGUUCCCGCUUGGAAGGGGGGGUGGGGGACGGACAGAGCACACCGCAGGACACGGUUCCCGCUUGGAAGGGGGGGUGGGGGACGGACAGAGCACACCGCAGGGCAGGUUUCCCGCUUGGAAGGGGGGGUGGGGGACGGACAGAGCACACCGCAGGGCAGGUUUCACGCUUGGAAGGGGGGAUCGGUGAGGAAGAAGCACCCCGCAGGACACGGUUCCCGCUUGGAAGGGGGGGUGGGGGACGGACAGAGCACACCGCAGGGCAGGUUUCACGCUUGGAAGGGGGGAUCGGUGAGGAAGAAGCACCCCGCCUGGAUGCCUACGUGCUGGGAAGGG